rnacentral:rRNA from 1 species
UACGUAGGGUCCGAGCGUUAAUCGGAAUUACUAGGCGUAAAGCGUGCGCAGGCGGUUUUGUAAGCCAGAUGUGAAAGCCCCGGGCUUAACCUGGGAAUGGCAUUUGGGACUGCAAGGCUGGAGUACGGCAGAGGGAGGUGGAAUUCCAGGUGUAGCAGUGAAAUGCGUAGAGAUCUGGAGGAACACCGAUGGCGAAGGCAGCCUCCUGGGCUAGUACUGACGCUCAUGCACGAAAGCGUGGGGAGCAAACAGG